rnacentral:rRNA from 1 species
GGAGGAAAAGAAACUAACAAGGAUUCCCCUAGUAGCGGCGAGCGAAGCGGGAAAAGCUCAAAUUUGUAAUCUGGCGUCUACGACGUCCGAGUUGUAAUCUCGAGAAGUGUUUUCCGUGAUAGACCGCAUACAAGUCUCUUGGAACAGAGCGUCAUAGUGGUGAGAACCCAGUACACGAUGCGGAUGCCUAUUACUUUGUGAUACACUUUCGAAGAGUCGAGUUGUUUGGGAAUGCAGCUCAAAUUGGGUGGUAAAUUCCAUCUAAAGCUAAAUAUUGGCGAGAGACCGAUAGCGAACAAGUACCGUGAGGGAAAGAUGAAAAGCACUUUGGAAAGAGAGUUAACAGUACGUGAAAUUGUUGGAAGGGAAACACAUGCAGCCAGACUUGCUAUUCGGGGCAACUCGAUUGGCAGGCCCGCAUCAGUUUUUCGGGGCGGAAAAUCAUAGAGAGAAGGUAGCAAUUUCGGUUGUGUUAUAGCUCUUUAUUGGAUUCGCCCUGGGGGACUGAGGAACGCAGCGUGCUUUUAGCAUAAGCUUCGGCUUAUCCACGCUUAGGAUGCGGGUGUAAUGGCUGUAUAUGACCCGUCU